GUGGCGAGUGGCGGACGGGUGAGGAAUACGUCGGAAUCUGCCUAUUUGUGGGGGAUAACGUAGGGAAACUUACGCUAAUACCGCAUACGACCUACGGGUGAAAGCGGAGGACCUUCGGGCUUCGCGCAGAUAGAUGAGCCGACGUCGGAUUAGCUAGUUGGCGGGGUAAAGGCCCACCAAGGCGACGAUCCGUAGCUGGUCUGAGAGGAUGAUCAGCCACACUGGAACUGAGACACGGUCCAGACUCCUACGGGAGGCAGCAGUAGGGAAUCUUCCGCAAUGGACGAAAGUCUGACGGAGCAAUGCCGCGUGAGUGACGAAGGUUUUCGGAUCGUAAAACUCUGUUGUAAGGGAAGAACAAGUACCAAGUAACUACUGGUACCUUGACGGUACCUUACCAGAAAGCCACGGCUAACUACGUGCCAGCAGCCGCGGUAAUACGUAGGUGGCAAGCGUUGUCCGGAAUUAUUGGGCGUAAAGCGCGCGCAGGCGGUCCCUUAAGUCUGAUGUGAAAGCCCACGGCUCAACCGUGGA
rnacentral:rRNA from 1 species